AGGGCUUGCGGACACUCUUUCAUCGAUCGUAUCGAGGUUGUUGUCGGGAGACCAAACGGAGGAGGAUGAUGGCGAGGAGGAGGAAUGACAUUUCGAUCCAUCCGAUGGAUGUGCAGGUUCAAUUCUGGCGAUAAUACCAACUGAGCGUGUAUGGCUGAGGAUGGAAGUUUGCAUUCUGGCCGCACUAGUCAAUCUUUUCUGAUCAUUUAAAUCAGCUAAGGGCCAAGGCUCAAUUUGGAUUCUUUCCAGCUGGGAAUGUCCAACCUGAUAUGCAUUCUGUGAGAGUCACAGUGCUUCUUGAAUGAGGCAGAGACUCGGAUAUUGGAGUGAUGGAAAGUAUGGUAUCUUUGGGUGAUUGGAGGUGUUUAUCUGUAUGCCUUCUGAUCGACUUCUCUGAUAUUAUUAAUGACUAUCAUCCUCAUUAAUUACCUUGAUGUGUUCUCUGGAAUAUUUUAUGACAUCAGCAGUCCUAUUGCCUGUCAAGGUGUUUUUCUCAUUCUUGGUGAGUAUCAUCUGUCUGCGUUCACUCUUCAAGGUCUUGUUAGUCCAUCAGCAUAAUUUCCAUGUGUUUUAUUCAGACGAAUCUGUUACAAGGCAUACAUCGACCAAAUGUUGAAAAUUGUGGCAUUGGAUCUUAAAAUUAUACAUCUUUCCCUGCAGUUUUUAUGGAUUGACUCCCUUUACUAUGUUGUCCAGCAGCUGCAGGUGCUUGUCAUUAUGGUUAAUGGAAUGAGAAUAAAAUUGAUCUUCUUUACAAAUGGUAACAUGUAACCCAUUUUUCCAAAAGAAACCUUUUUACCUUCCUUAUAUGAGAAUUUAUUAAGGAAAACCACAAUAGAAGUGAUACCAUGCAUCAAUAUAUACAACUUGCUUGUAGGGAGUCACACUAAAGAAAGUUUUAAGCCGCUCACUUCUUCACAUAAUUGGUAGGCAUUGAAACUUGUGCAAACUUGAGCAUAGUUUCAAAUUGUUGGUCAGGGGUGAAAAAUACAUAGUAAAGAAGCUUGGGCUAUUUCUGCCGUCUAUCUGUGAUGUUUGACUCUUAGAAAUAUUGUCAUUGUAACUCUCAAAUUGAUUGAUGUAUUCAUGUGCUAGUGAGCUUAAGGUGUCUAUUGUUUAUUGUCAUUUCAUCUGUCACCUAAUAUACAUGGCAGUAUAAAAAACAGUUAGGGAGUAAUAGAUCUUAGACUAUUUAUUUAGUAUAAAUGUUUUCCCUACUCAGUCUAAAUUUCCUGCUACUACUUCUUGACAAAUUUCAGCCAACUGAGACAAUUAUGAUUGCCUAAUCAAUUAAUGCAGAAAAAAUGCAUCUGAGUUCAUGACAAUGGAUGUAUCUGUAUUUUAUGUUCCUGCCAUAUCAUCAACAGUCUCAAAUGGUUGAUGGAUAGUCCCCUGGAUAUUCUAUUGUAUUAAUGAAAAGUUUACGAUCUAAAUUAGGCAUUUAAUCUAUCCAAAUUAUGGUGGUUUACUGACUGUUGUUUUAACAUGGGUGACUUUUUUUCUGCAACACCCUUUUUGUUUCAGAAUAAGAUGCGUGGAAUUCCCUAUGAUUGGCAAGCUGAUGCAUCAAAUUUGUCUUCUGCAGACUGUAGGAGUCAAAUCCUUGUUUGCUCUGAAGUCACAAAGGUUCCAUUCUUCAUGUCUUUGUUUCAACUGGGAUAUUUCUUCACCACUGUUCAUUAGAUAGGGAGGUGAAAAGAUUGAUAUGGAACAUUAUUAUCCAUGCUACAGGACACAUCUGCUCAUUCUUCAUAGCAGUGAUGCUCAUAGCUUCAUGAAUCAUGGUGUCCCUGCACCAGUCAUGCUCACCAGAUUGUUGAUAACAAGCAGUCAUAUGAAAAAGAUUGGCAUCUUUGUUAUCACAUACUUGUUUGCUAAUGAUUUAUGACAGUACUUCGAGUUUUGUCAUCUAUUUAACACCACUUUAUUAAUAUAAUUAGCAUAAUCUAGUUGCUAUCUCCAUUUUAAGGAUUGGAAGUUCAAGUUAGAGACAGUUCUUUUGUUGCAGGAAAAGUAAAGGAAUAAGGCUGACAUUUGAUCAUCUUUCUUUUGAUUCUUUUCUUGUUAGUGUACAUGUAGCUGGAGAAUACAUAAUGCACAAGAGUUCUAUCUUUGGUUAAUCUUCUUCUUACCCAGUUUCAUUAGUGUACAUGUAGCUAUCAGAUGAACAAACAAAAAAUUGACAGUAAAAACUCAUGUCUUUAGAACUACAUACAGUUUGUGUGAUGACUUUUGUGGACAUCCAUGUUGACUGCCAUAGGAAUUGAUAGAUUUUGCAUCUCACUGUUACCAUGGCACAUGAACAAGGAAGAUUCAGCAUACACAAGGUAGAAAUUCUGGAGACAAGUGAUUGCAAAGCCAUGAAAGCAAGGAUAUAUAAGAAUAAAGUGAAAGACACUGGUUACUACAAGCUUUUGUUUUUGACGCUCCACAGAAUAUGCAAGGAUGAAGAGCUGAUAGAAUUUGUAUAUCAUCAGCCCUAGAUGAACGAGAAAAGAAGUAUAAGAUGCUCAAAGCCCAGAGAUACAGAGUGGAACCUCUUGCCAUGGAUGUCUGAAGCUUGCAACUCCUGCCGCAGUUGCUGGUUCUGGUACAAAGAACUCACAGUGUUCAUGGGGGAUUGGUUUCCUGUCUUGAUGUCACCAUACAUGGGUUGGCUUUGGAAUGCACCGUGAAGGUACUCUGACCAUUUGAGGUCCUCCAUCUCGUCUCCGAGGUGGGCUUGCACAUCUUUCUCAGAUGUCAAUUCUGAGCAGGAGAAGACGCCACUGUCGAAGGAGCAAGUGCUCUGCAGCAUGAUGCGACCACCAUCAUUUACGCUUUUCCGGUUGCCAGUGUACCAGCCAGGGAUUGUAUCAUCUUCUUCUUCAUAGCUUGGUGGCAGAGCCAUGGAAGUCGAAAGAGUUGUGAUUGGGGUGGAUAUUGCAUUGCAGUUCAACCAGAAGAGUGGAUUCGAGUUGAUCGUGAUGGAAGUCGCCUGACUGCUGCUGCUGUAGUCAGGAGCAAAGCUUACCUGUGGAAAAGGGAGAUAACCCAUUGAAUUGGAAGAACAGCAGCUUGAUGAACUCGUGAGGAACUGGUCCAAGAAUAUUUCUUUCUUCAAGGUGCUGCUCUCAUCCAUGGACUUAUCAAUCACCGACUGGAGAUCGCUGGAGUCAGAAUUCUUGUCGCUGUUGCUGGCCACCUUAUCAUCAUCACCACCAUCAACCUUGACAAGUGGCUUGUGGCUACUGGGGUCGAUACCUCUCUGUGUUAGCUUCUUCUUGAUGCUGGAAUUCCACAAAUUCUUGAUCUCGUUAUCCGUCCUCCCCGGCAAAUGUGCUGCAAUCUUUGACCAUCUGAUGAAGUCAAAGACAUGGAAGCAUCAGCUAAACUGAGCCCUCAUAGAACAUGGACUUCAUCGUUGGAAAAGACAAGGGGUGUUGCUUGUACCUGUUUCCCAGGACUGCAUGGAGUUCGAUGAUGAGGUCCUCCUCCUGCUGUGAGAAUGUACCUCUCUUGAGGUCAGGCCUCAGGUAGUUGAUCCACCUCAAUCUGCAGCUCUUUCCACACCUUUGAAGACCUGGCAAUUCUUGCGUACGUGAAGGACAUAAGACAGAGAGGAAAGCAUGCAACUGGCCAUCAUCACUUCAGCAUACCUGCUUGAUUAGGGACAGUGCUCCAACACCCAUGGCCAUACUUGUUAAUGUGCUUGAUGAGCUUCUCAUCUUCCUCAGGAGACCAGAGGCCUUUUCUUGGCUUCUGCUUGUGGCAGCAGGAGUGCCCUCCCAUUUGGCCGAUUGCCGCAAGAAGAAGGUUUCUUUAGUGAAUUAGGAUGUGGAGAAUUUUGAGAGUGGAAGAAAGAAUUUGUGGGAGGUUGAGGAACUGUAGUUGCAGUGGUGGGGUUGGAAUUAAGAAGUGGGCUGAGCUUAAAAGUAUAUGUGAGAGAGAAAGUUGACAAUCAAGUGGUUAGGUUUGAGUUGAGGUUUCUUCUUCCUCUCUCUCUCUCUCUCUCUCUUUCUGAAGUUACAUGGUUCGUCACCUUCUCAGGGUUGAUGCCUACUGUUACAGUGAUGGGGGCAGUAAGUCUGAUGUGAACCGAAGAAACCUUGAAGGUUGCAGUCAUGUCUAUCAGUAGAAGUAAUAACUGACUUGAGUUCCUAUCCUCAGAUUGGGUUUGAAGCAACCCAUGCAGCCCUUUCCUGCCAAUCCUACCACAAGCGUAUCAUACAAAGGCCAGUACAGAUUUGGAAACGGAGGAGCAAGAAAAUCUUCUGAUGGCCAGAAACUGGUUAGAGAACAGUUCUGUCAGAGUAGCAGUAAAGCUGUGUGUUGUUGGAACUAAAGAAAGACCAGGAAACAAGAUAUCCGUCUCAGACUUCCAACAGGAACUGAUUGCCAGAGGAAGCAGGGGCGUUUUUUAUCCUUUCUAUGGAAAGCUCCAUGAUUGAGUCGAUAGAACAAAAUCCUGUGUGCAUAUUGUAAGAGAAUUGGCAUCUUCCUUUAUAUUAGCAGUAUCACUGUUCUCAUGGGAACUUACAGGAACAUGAUUUUGGCCGUCAAUCCCACUUGGUAAAACUAAUCCGUUCUGUUCUA